GGGGGUGAAACUGGUUUCGACGGGAUUAUUUAGUCUUUGGACUGCGCACCGUGUUAUCCGUAGACACGCUAAACGACGGUAACUUAAAUAUAAUCGACAAUUACGAUUACGCAUUAGCAGCUUAAUCCCAAAAGGAUAGCUACUCGUUCCUCAAAUUCUCUCGUAUCAGGAUUUGAACGAACGCCGCUUAGAUACGAUAGCCAAAUUGAGAACUUGAGUAGAUGAGGCAAAACUUUAAUCAAGUUGGUUCAAUAAUAUCUUGUUAAUCAGAGAUUGUUGGAUGAGAUUAAAAGACUAACUAUGUGUGUAGACGUUCUCUGAACGGUAAUUCCGGACCCGGGUUCGACUCCCGGCACCUCCACAA
rnacentral:tmRNA from 1 species